UUCUAUCACUAAAAGGACCCCGAAAUCCUUGUCACUGAAAGUCAAGACCUGACCAAGCCAAGCUUCUGCCCAUGCCCAUCUGCACCCUUCCCGCCGGGGACCAGUAUUCAGAUGCUGACAGCCAAAUAACUCACCUAAAGACCUCUACUUUCAUCAGCAAAAGUAAUAUGAGAGUUCAUCUGGACACCUGAAUCCAUAAUUCAAGUUCUCAGUUGGGCAGAGAGAAGAUUUGUGCAGA